rnacentral:rRNA from 1 species
GGGCCCGCACAAGCGGUGGAGCAUGUGGUUUAAUUCGAUGAUACGCGAGGAACCUUACCAAGGUUUAAAUGUAGAACGAUCGAUGUGGAAACACAUCUUUCUUCGGACGGUCUACAAGGUGCUGCAUGGUUGUCGUCAGCUCGUGCUGUGAAGUGUCGGGUUAAGUCCCAUAACGAGCGCAACCCCUAUCUUUAGUUGCCAGCGAUUCGGUCGGGGACUCUAAAGAAACUGCCGGCGUAAGCCGCGAGGAAGGUGGGGAUGACGUCAAAUCAUCACGGCCCUUACAUCUUGGGCUACACACGUGCUACAAUGGCGAGGACAACGAGAAGCAAACCGGCGACGGUGAGCAAAUCUAAAAACCUCGUCUCAGUUCGGAUCGGAGUCUGCAACUCGACUCCGUGAAGUUGGAAUCGCUAGUAAUCGCGCAU